rnacentral:rRNA from 1 species
GACGGAAAAGAAACCAACAGGGAUUGCCUCAGUAACGGCGAGUGAAGCGGCAACAGCUCAAAUUUGAAAUCUGGCCCUUUCAGGGUCCGAGUUGUAAUUUGUAGAGGGUGCUUUGGCGUUGGUUGUGGUCUAAGUUCCUUGGAACAGGACGUCACAGAGGGUGAGAAUCCCGUACGUGGCCGCCAGCCUUCGCCGUGUAAAGCCCCUUCGACGAGUCGAGUUGUUUGGGAAUGCAGCUCUAAAUGGGAGAUAAAUUUCUUCUAAAGCUAAAUACUGGCCAGAGACCGAUAGCGCACAAGUAGAGUGAUCGAAAGAUGAAAAGCACUUUGGAAAGAGAGUCAAAAAGCACGUGAAAUUGUUGAAAGGGAAGCGCUUGCAGCCAGACGUGCCCGCAGUUGCUCACCCAGGCGUUUGCCUGGGGCACUCUUCUGCGGGCAGGCCAGCAUCAGUUCGGGCGGUUGGAUAAAGGUCACUUUCACGUAACUGGCCCUCGGGCUUGUCCUUAUAGAGGUGACGCAACACGGCCAGCCCGGACUGAGGACCGCGCAUCAGCUAGGAUGCUGGCGUAAUGGCUGUAAGCGGCCCGUCUUGAAACACGGACCAAGGAGUCUAACAUCUAUGCGAGUGUUUGGGUGUCAAGCCCGGGCGCGCAAUGAAAGUGAACGGAGGUGGGAACCCUUUGGGUGCACCAUCGACCGAUCCUGAAGUCUUCGGAUGGAUUUGAGUAAGAGCAUAGCUGUUGGGACCCGAAAGAUGGUGAACUAUACUUGGAUAGGGUGAAGCCAGGGGAAACCCUGGUGGAGGCUCGCAGCGGUUCUGACGUGCAAAUCGAUCGUCAAAUCUGGGUAUAGGGGCGAAAGACUAAUCGA